UACGGAGGGUGCGAGCGUUGUCCGGAAUCACUGGGCGUAAAGGGCGUGCAGGCGGUUUGCUAAGUCUAGGGUGAAAGCUCCCGGCUUAACUGGGAGAGGUCCUUGGAUACUGGCAGACUUGAGGAGGGUAGAGGAGAGUGGAAUUCCCGGUGUAGUGGUGAUAUGCGUAGAUAUCGGGAGGAACACCAGUGGCGAAGGCGGCUCUCUGGGCCCUACCUGACGCUGAGACGCGAAAGCGUGGGGAGCGAACCGG
rnacentral:rRNA from 1 species